CCCGCCCGACCCCUCGGGGGCCCGGGAGCUGGUGGAAGUGCCGGUCGCCGGCUGCGGGAGCCGGGAUCGGAGACGUGGCUGCGGCGCCCACGGCCCCGGAAGGCUCCACCCAGCGGCCGAGAUAAGGGGAGGCUUCCCGACGUCUUACUAAACUUAAAAAGGUUGAUUAAUAAAAAUAACCGAGACUCUGAACAAGUGUAUCUAGGGCAAUUGCAGAUGGAACUGUUUUCUUAAGUUCUCGCAUUUGGGAAUUUUAAAGCGCCAAGUUUGGACCACUUUGACUUGCAAACAUUCCAGGGUCCUUUCUCAGGGUCAAGAUUUGGGUUAAUCACAUCUUUGCAAUAAAAAAAAAAAAGUCAAAUACCAGAGUGAUUUGUGAUCAUCAGCAAGAAACAAACAAUAUCUGUGCAUUAGAGAAACUUGUAAGCACCUGAUUAAAGAAGAGAUCAGGUCAACCACACCGGUGGGAUGAACCUCUUCCUCUGACACAACCUCACCUGUUAACUGGAGCUAUUCAGGAAGAAAGAGGCAAAUGCAAAUUGUGGGAUGCUCCUGAGAGGCAACUGGCCAGGGUGUUUCAGCAGUGCCAAUGUCUUACGAGAAAAAAAAAAAAAAAAAAGAUGAGACAAAUUAAAAUUCAAGGAAAAGGAGAUUAAAGAAGGAUAAAGAGGCAUGAAGCUAAAUGCCAUUCAUGAUCCUUCGGGCCUCUCCCCAGGGCAGCUAGCUUGAGCAUCCUCACAACAUGGCGGCUGUAUUCUCCCAGAGCCAGUGAUUCAAGAGAGUGAAAGGCAGAAGCACUAGUAUCUUUUAUGACCUGGUCCUGGAAGUCACAUACUAUCAUUUCCACAUUAUCCUAUUGGUUACACAGGACAACGUAUGAGGAGGAUAUUAUUAUCCCUGCUUGAUGAUUGAGAAAAUGGGAGUCACAGAGAGGGCUAGCAACUUUCCCAAUGUCACACAGCUAGGGAGUAGUAGAGGUAA